GACGAACGCUGGCGGCGUGCUUAACACAUGCAAGUCGAACGGAAAGGCCCUGCUUUUGUGGGGUGCUCGAGUGGCGAACGGGUGAGUAACACGCGAGUAACCUGCCCUUGACUUUGGGAUAACUUCAGGAAACUGGGGCUAAUACCGGAUAGGAGCUCCUGCUGCAUGGUGGGGGUUGGAAAGUUUCGGCGGUUGGGGAUGGACUCGCGGCUUAUCAGCUUGUUGGUGGGGUAGUGGCUUACCAAGGCUUUGACGGGUAGCCGACCUGAGAGGGUGACCGGCCACAUUGGGACUGAGAUACGGCCCAGACUCCUACGGGAGGCAGCAGUGGGGAAUAUUGCACAAUGGGCGGAAGCCUGAUGCAGCAACGCCGCGUGCGGGAUGACGGCCUUCGGGUUGUAAACCGCUUUCGCCUGUGACGAAGCGUGAGUGACGGUAAUGGGUAAAGAAGCACCGGCUAACUACGUG
rnacentral:rRNA from 1 species